rnacentral:lncRNA from 10 species
UGUUAUCUUGUUCCUAACUGGCAUUUGAUCUUUACUAAUUUGCCCUCUUAAAGACUAUAACCCUCUACAAAAACAAAUAAACACAAACACCCUUUAGCUUGCUGUUACCUCAAGGAUAAUGUAUGACUUGAGUGUGUUGUUGAGCUUUCUGCCUUAGCUAGUUUGCCAUCAAAUCAAGGUUCUCUAUCAGUACAGCUAAGAAAUUUAAAACCAGAAUAAGCAAAAAACUUUAAGGCUCUAGAGAUUUACUUCAUAACUUGCUUUAAUUAAAGUCAAUUCCUAUAUUAAAAAGAGAGGUAUUUCUGAUUUAAUAUUUUUCCCUUAAGGAGGGCAUCUAUAACUUUUUUUUGUAAUUGAAAGUAUUAGAUGGGUUUCAAAUCAUUUGCUGUAUCAUUAUUUCUUUGAAAUCAUUCUUUCCUGUGCAUACCUAGAAUACAUGUGUGGUCAAUAGAGUCUCAACCCUUUCUGCCCCUUCCAUUUCUCUCUAUCCUUACUCCUGGUGGAGGUGUGGGCUUUUCCACAGCAUGAUAGUAUAUGUGUGGUUAGACUUCUGACACAGUAGCUCAGGACUCCGAGUGUUCCAGUGACCAGGGUAGAAGCUGCAUGACUUAGGCACACGGCGUCACUUCCACUGUGCUAUAUAGUUGAAGCAAUUUAAGUCUGCCGUUCAAUCAUGAUGCCUCUACUCUUGGCCGUUGGCCUCAAGAAGCAUGGACAGUAAACAGGAACUUUUCAAAUGGUACCAACAGUCCAGCCUAGUAAGUUAAUUAUUGAACAGUCACUACCUAAUGCUGUAGAUGUGUGCAGUUUGACAAGGCUGUUAUAACGUCCAACCCUUUCAGGAAAGUAAUUCUGUAAGGAAAUUGCCUGCAAUAGAAGUUAUGGGACUCAGCUGGGUGACAGCCAUGUCAUGGCAAUCAAUACAAGAACAAAAAAAAUCAAAUAUUAAUGAAAGAUGGAUUUGUUCAGGCACAGGAUUGGUAAUUUUUUGUAAAUGACAUUUUACUUCCACUGUCUGUUUCCAGGGAAGGCUGAGUAUAAUCUCACUGACACUAAACUCAAGGUGACAUUUCUCAUUUCAAUUAUUUCCUAGUGUCUUCCUCCUUCUUUUUCUCCCACAUCUUGUCAAGAACUGCAGGCAACAUAAUGAAAUACUCCAUCAACUAUGGAGUCUAGGGUCUGAAGAAGCAGGAGAGAGUUUUGUUGUGCUUUCUGAAUGUAGAAUACAUCCUAAUUUGAAAGCCAGUGUGAGGCUUGGUGGAGGAUCUUGGCUUCAGAAAAAAAUUAUCAGGAUAAUUUGAAAGAAGUCUGAAUAUUUAACAAGUUCACUGUGAAUUACAUAUAAGUUGGCAGAUUUCAAGUUAAGAAUCAUAGGGAUGGCUAUAAUAAUACUAGCUGAGACUUAUUGAGCAAUUAUGCUGGAUAGAUAAAAUCUCUUAUUCUCUAAAUAAACAGUGGCCAUUUUUAAUCAUGUUUAUGGGAUCUGCCAAAAUUUUGCUUUUGAUUCUUUGUUCUACGUAACGUAGAAACAGCCAGAGAAAAAGUAUGAAGGGGGAAAAGGCAAUAGGAGUAAUUAUUUGAUGUUUCUUAGGCAACAUCUUGUUAAAUAAUUUCUGAAUUGACUGUUUUGACUCAGCUGAACAAUUAUUAAGUAACUGUGUUGAAGGACUGUCUAAAGGAAUUGAGGUGGUUGAUUCCAUUAAAACAAGUAGACGCCACCAACCUUUAGAAACAUAGAAUACUUGCCAGUUAUUGCUAUUUCUUUCUCCCUUCCUUUCUUUCUUUUUCCCUUUCUUUCUUUCUUUCUCCCUUUCUUUCUUCCUCUCUCUUUCUUUCUUUCUCUCUCUCUUUCUUUCUUCCUUUCUUUCUUUCUUUCUUCCUUUCUUUCUUUCUCCCUUCCUUUCGCUUUCUCUUCCUGAGUGUGGUAGAGAAUGAAUAAUGGCUCAUCGAAGAUACUCACAUUGUAAUCUCUGGACCUGUGGAUAUGUUACCUUUCCUGGCAAAUGGGACUUUGCAGAUGUGAUUUAAUUAAGAAUCUUGACAUGUAGAGAUUAUCCUGAAUUAUUGAGGCAGGCCCAUUGUAGUCACAAUGUAACCAAAAUGCAAGUUCAUUGGCUCACUGCUUGCAGAAUCCAAUUGACAAGAAUGAGGUCUGGUAUAAAGAAGUAGCACAGGCUUCCUGCCGUAAGGGUGCCACCUUCCUUUUGGAGCAGAAGGCAGGUGCUUUUAAAAAGGGAGGUGGCAUGAAUGGCACAUAGGAGAGGGAAUGAAGAGGUGAGGAUCCCUGUGACUUGCUUUGGUGCCUUAUCUCCUGGGUGCUCAAGCUGGCACCAUCCAGGCAAAACUAAGUUGUACUUUUGGUUGUAAAUUGACUAUUGUCUUUUCAAGGCAAUCUCCUGGUGGGAGAGAGUUCUGCUGUGGAGCUUUUAAGUAAGCACAGUUAGAUAAGCUUGUCCUGUAGGGAGUGUCUGGUGAGAUGAAGGUAAAAGGUUAUAAUUGCAUUUCUAAAGAGCUAAGUAGGAAGUCAGGAAGAGGAGAAAAAGGAAAGAGAAAAGAGAGCAAAAAAUAAAACUAGCUCUUAGAAAACUGGAGUUACUUGAUUACAACAAGUGUUCUUGUAAAAGCGAGGCAGGAGAGUCAGAGUUCAAGAAAGGGGAGAGUAGAAGAGGAAUGGGUGGAAUGG